rnacentral:snoRNA from 1 species
AAGACCUUACUUCAUAGGAUCAUUUCUAUAGUAAGUUCUUCACGAGACCCUUAAAAACCAUUUGUAGUCGAAAAUAUUCACUAGCGUUGAAUUUGAAGUGGA